UAGGGAAUCUUCCGCAAUGGGCGAAAGCCUGACGGAGCAACGCCGCGUGAGUGAUGAAGGUCUUCGGAUCGUAAAACUCUGUUAUUAGGGAAGAACAAAUGUGUAAGUAACUAUGCACGUCUUGACGGUACCUAAUCAGAAAGCCACGGCUAACUACGUGCCAGCAGCCGCGGUAAUACGUAGGUGGCAAGCGUUAUCCGGAAUUAUUGGGCGUAAAGCGCGCGUAGGCGGUUUUUUAAGUCUGAUGUGAAAGCCCACGGCUCAACCGUGGAGGGUCAUUGGAAACUGGAAAACUUGAGUGCAGAAGAGGAAAGUGGAAUUCCAUGUGGAGCGGUGAAAUGCGCAGAGAUAUGGAGGAACACCAGUGGGGAAGGCGACUUUCUGGUCUGUAACUGACGCUGAUGUGCGAAAGCGUGGGGAUCAAACAGG
rnacentral:rRNA from 1 species